GUGCUUGCUUUGGCAGCACAUAUACUAAAAUUGGAAUGAUACAGAGAAGAUUAGUGUGGCCCCUGCUCAGGAUGACAUGCAAAUUCGUAAAACAUUCCAUAUUUAA